rnacentral:tRNA from 1 species
UCCCUGGUGGCUCAGCUGGUAAAGAAUCCGCCUGCAAUGCGGGAGACCUGGGUUCAAUCCCUGGGUGGGGAA